UCUCUCUCUCUCUUUGAAAAGCACUUUUGUUUCUCUCUUCCCCUUCCUUCUCCUUCAUUCUCUCGAAACCCUAAAAAUAGCCGAUCCCCUCCCCUUUGCACACACAAGCCAGUACAAUCGAUGGGAAAAAGAUCGAGGGAGAAAGAUUGAGGCUUGAAAACUUCGACAACUAAUCUAAAUGGGAUUCAAUCCCCUGUGAAGCCAGUACAAAAGUGGUUCUUGGCUCCAGUUCGACAUCUGCUGAUGAAGAACUCUUACGCAUCAGAGCUACCUAUGUGUCUCACGAUGCUCAGCUCCUUUGAAAAGCCAGGGGUGGCACCAGUUCGCCCCUAGAAAAGUUCAGCAGUGGUCGGUGCCGCUCAGAUUAAGGGGUUUGGGUGAGGUUUCAUACAGGGGCUUGGCUGAGGUUUCAAAAAAUUAGGAGGUUUCCUUUCCUUUUAAGUUUAAUAGUUAAAAUGGGCUUAAUGAAGUGCUGAAAAGGGUAAUUUGUGAAUUUGUGAUAUGUUCAUCAGUUAAAUCCUUACUUUUUUAUAUUUUUAGUUUUUUUUGUGGAUACACAGGGAACAACAAUAAUUGACUUGUAGUUUUUGCUUUACUUAUAUAUUAAUGACUGAACAUUUCAGUUCAUAUCUUAUUUGGAAUCUAAAUGGCUUUUAUAAAUUUUUAACAACCUCAGAUCUGAUAUGAAUCUUCCGAGUCAUGAGUUUAACAAGCUCAUCUUUUGACUUUUUUUCCGAGUCAUGAGUUUAGCAAGUUCAUUUUUUGACUUUUUUUUUCUUCCGAGUCAUGAGUUUAACAUGCUUUUAUAUUUUUAUGUUUAACUUAUCAUUUUGUGAAAGUCGAUUUAUUGGAAAUCUCAGGAGGAAAAGAGAAGGGGAAAUGGUGCAGUGUUUUGUCUGGAGAUUAUAGCUUAAGAUCUGCACUGUGGCUGUGGUGGUAGGUGUGGCUCAGAUGUUGGCGAAAAAGAGAACAUAUAAUUGCUGCUAUGGAGUUUAGCAAACCAAGCAAGCCCAGGGUUUGGUACACAAGACCGUGGAGCCCAUCUGCAUCGGUGAAGCCUCUUAGUCAUAGUGGUUGCAGAGAAAAUCGUACCAAUAAGCAUUCAUAUCAUUUGAAAGUCAAUUUCGCAGAGCUUGGAAGCAACACGCUCGGGCAAUAUAGCACCUUCGAACUUUAGAAGGGUUAAAGUAUCUUAUUUCCACCAAACUAAUGGCAGUUCCAUAUUCACUUAGCAGCUCAUAUUUAAAUGUGCUUCUUACAUACCUCUGGUAGUGGUGUGGAUCCUAACUCUAAUUGUGAUUUAAUUUUUUUUCCUUUUGAUUAGGUUGAUAUAGGGUUAUAAUAAUGUGUGUCUUUUAGGCAGGGAUUGCAGUUGCUUAGGCUACAAUAACACCACUUACCAUCAGAGCUUUUCGCAACAAGCUUCUUGAGCUAAUUGUAUAGGUUUGUUAGUAAUUUGGACACAGUCUGCUCUGAGUCAAACCCAACUAGCCGUCUGGCCCAUUUUGCCUCCCUUAAUUAUAUCCUCUGAUGAUUUGUUUGGUUUCAGUAUAGACCCCGGUUAUGUGAAAAUAUCUGGAGGGAUCAAAAUAAUGCUGAUGUUGAGGGUGGAUUUGUGGAAAGGACCCCUCAAGAGUUAUACACUCCGAAUGUAGUGGGUUGCGGACUUCAUCAACAGACAUUGUAUUUCUUAUGUACAUGCGUAUCUGGGACUUAAGAUAGCAAAAGAUCCAAAACAGACAUUCAUAUAAGUUAUUUCCAAUCUUCCACAUACUUUUUGUAAUCCUCUUUUUUAGAUGCCAUCCUAAACAUGUUUUUAAUGGUGUAUGCAGAUAAUAAAAAAUGCCAACUUGAAGAAUAAGAGAAUUAGGCUCUGGGACAUAUGGUACUGGUUAAGAUGGUAGAUAGCGAGGGUCGGAUGUCAAGGGUUUCAGUCGCUAACAACGAAUCUGCAAGUUUUAAUCUUUCCAACAUAUUAUAUAUGUCUACUUGUUUGCUGAUGUUAUUUGCUGUUGGAUUUGGUAAUUUGGGCCUGUAUGAAAUCCUAACAAAAUGAAAGUCAAAUAUAGAAAAAUCAAAAUUUGGCUUU